rnacentral:rRNA from 1 species
AGGUGGGAGGCUUUGAAACCAGGACGCCAGUUUUGGCGGAGCCAUCCUUGGGAUACCACCCUUGUAGUACUGGGACUCUAACCAUAGGCCAUGAAUCUGGUCUUGGGACACUGUCAGGUGGGCAGUUUGACUGGGGCGGUCGCCUCCCAAAAGGUAACGGAGGCGCUCAAAGGUUCUCUCAGUACGGUCGGAAAUCGUACGUAGAGUGUAAAGGCAAAAGAGAGCUUGAUUGCAAGACAUACAGGUCGAGCAAGGAUGAAAAUCGGACUUAGUGAUCCGGUGGUUCUGCGUGGAAGGGCCAUCGCUCAACGGAUAAAAGCUACCCUGGGGAUAACAGGCUUAUCUCCCCCAAGAGUCCACAUCGACGGGGAGGUUUGGCACCUCGAUGUCGGCUCAUCACAUCCUGGGGCUGUAGUAGGUCCCAAGGGUUGGGCUGUUCGCCCAUUAAAGUGGUACGCGAGCUGGGUUCAGAACGUCGUGAGACAGUUCGGUCCCUAUCCGUCGCAGGCGUAGGAAAUUUGAGAAGACCUGUCCUUAGUACGAGAGGACCGGGAUGGACGUACCUCUGGUGUACCAGUUGUUCUGCCAAGGGCAUGGCUGGGUAGCUAUGUACGGAAUGGAUAAGCGCU